CUCAUUUUAAGUGUAGGUUUCUCCUAAGAGUUCAAGACCCAGAUUUACUAGCUAUGUAGUGAGUCUCAUGUUUAGUAUCUUUGUUGUAGGUUGGAACAAAAGGCACUUCUGCUCCUGAAUGAAGGCUUGUAGUGCAUUUUUGGAUCUCUCCAGAGUGGGGAAUGAACUCUUGGAGUUAUCUGUGUUGUCAGCACCACCUCAAUCAAUCUUCUCUGCAAACUAGAUUUGUCCUAAGAAUUGUGAGGUAAAAUGCUAGAGCUGUCGAGGAAUGAAGUCGCUUCACUGGAGGCGCGAGGCUUCAAGAACAACACAGGUGAACCCGUAUCAAGCUAAGGAAGAAUAAGGAGGUAAUCCAAAAUAUCAGGAGAUACAUAGUGGUGCUGGGCCUAGACAGAGAAAUGCUUUCACUCGGCAAGGUAACAUUUUUUGGUUGAGACCCUUCUGCAAUUAGUACGAAUGGCUUGCACAGUUUUGGAACAGGAAUGUUCUUGGUCUGAUGCCCAUCCAUAUACUAAGCCAUGAAGUGAACAGCUUCCAGGUUGGGAUGUCUGACCCUGCUGUUCUCGAGUGAAGAGGUCCAGGAAGGGAUGAAUGCUAAUGAGUGGCUGGGCUGACGUAUGCAGGAGACCUGGGAACUAGAACUGCCUGGGCCAUUUGAGUGC